AACGAACGCUGGCGGCAUGCCUAACACAUGCGAGUCGAACGAGACCUUCGGGUCUAGUGGCGCACGGGUGCGUAACGCGUGGGAACCUGCCCUUAGGUUCGGAAUAACUCCCCGAAAGGGGUGCUAAUACCGGAUAAUGUCUUCGGACCAAAGAUUUAUCGCCUUUGGAUGGGCCCGCGUUGGAUUAGCUAGUUGGUAGGGUAAAAGCCUACCAAGGCGACGAUCCAUAGCUGGUCUGAGAGGAUGAUCAGCCACACUGGGACUGGGACACGGCCCAGACUCCUACGGGAGGCAGCAGUGGGGAAUAUUGGACGAUGGGCGAAAGCCUGAUCCAGCAAUGCCGCGUGAGUGAUGAAGGCCUGAGGGUUGUAAAGCUCUUUUAACCGGGAUGAUAAUGACAGUACCGGGAGAAUAAGCGCCGGCUAACUCCGUG
rnacentral:rRNA from 1 species